AUGCCGGAACUCUGUACACUUCAACUCGACGCCUUUCCAACUACAGAUCUCUGGAACUCACUCAUCUGCCUGUUUGCUGCAAUCCGGUUCCGGACAGCUGUGUCCCCUUCGGGGCCAGGCCCCUGGCAACUCCCACGGGCAGACGUGCAUCCGGAGAGGAGCUUUUGCCGGUUUUCCACUUGCCUCACCGAUGGGAAAUGCAUAGAGGAACCUUCCUGGUUUCAUCCAACAAGCAGGUAAACAGACAAAAGUGGCUUAUGGUCGACGCCAUCUUGGUCAUGUGACCUACCUGUAGACUCGGCCACUCCAGCGGCCUGAGCCAGCAAACCUGUCUGCCGGAUUUUUUAUUUCUGCCAGAUCUUUUUGCUUUUUAUUUUAUUUUUUGCCUGUGAUUUCUUCUUUCACUGGCUCUGUUGUUCAUGGCUUGUUUACUAAAUACUGUGCCUUUCCAGGGCCCUCUGUUUAAGUCUACUCUGUCCCUUUAAAUGUCCUGUCUACUUGCUACAAUGUACAGAUCAGAGAUUGCAUUCUGGUUCCCCCUUUUACUGUUAUCCAGUCCUGCUUGUCUCUGUACCUGUAAUUUAACUUUAUACUUAUCUAGCUCUAUAUGCAACUUAAACUAUGCUAAGUCUCAUAUUUCUAAAUUGCUACAUAUCGUUAAAUGAUGGUAAACAUUUAAAGUCAUAAAGGUCUAAUUUAACCACUUAAAAUAUAAGCUAAGUCUAUACAACUUAAAUUUAACUUAUGUAUCUUUAAAUGAUGAUGAAAGUUUAAAAUCAAACUAACAAAAUAUUUAUACCACUCAGUCUGUCUUGUAAGCCAUUUGCAAAGGUACAGCUUUUAUUACAAAAAGGGAUUUUUCUC
rnacentral:lncRNA from 1 species